UGGUAGAUUUCUCCUGUUGUCCUGUGACUUGGCUUGAAGCGGAAGAUGACCCGUGUCACCUGGCACCCUGAUAACAGAGAGCAAAUUCCAGCAAAAAAGUGCCCAUGCCUGGGCUGGCCAUUCUUGUGCCCAGCAGGCAGCUCCCUGCCAUCUGGCCACCUUAGAGGGACCACAGCCGCUCUGCUCCUCGCCCACCUGGCUUCAGCUGCCUCCCAACCCCAGUGACAGGGACAGCAUCGCCAAUACUAGGCACAAACCAGCCUCCGAUUUACCUGCUUUCCUGCUCUGGGGACUGGGGACCAGGUCCCCUAAUGCUGUUGUGCCCUAGUUUUCCACAGAGCUGAUGCCCUAUCCCUUGAGAAAGCAGAGGCUGUAACCGUGGCCAAGAUCGUUCAGGGGAGACUCCUUUGGGAACCAGUAGCUGACGCGCAGCAAGUGACGCCCUCUGGCCGGAGGGAAGAAGAAGCUCAGGGGCCAGUCGGGAGCUGGGGACAGACGCCUGCCUCCCUGGGCCUUGCAUCCGUGACCCUGGAGUUAGGUUCCCAGGCCCCCAGGAGGGAAGCAGCUUGGGUCUAAGCCGGCAAAGGAAAAAGGGAGCACGUGGGCAGGUACAGGUGGGAGAGAAGUGUGGGGAGCAGCACAGAAUGUCACAGCUCCACGAGACGGAAAAUGAUGGCACCCGGGCACACUGAGACAUCGGUACAUUCACGCUCACCCUCCUUCACAUCUAGUGAACAGAUAUUUCACAGCGAAGACGUUAAUCUCCUUCUGGUCAAUAGUUCUCAGCCAAAUGAUCAAAAUAAAAUACAUCACUCAUCGCAAGAAAAAAAA